rnacentral:rRNA from 1 species
UACGUAGGCAGCGAGCGUUGUUCGGAGUUACUGGGCGUAAAGCGUGCGUAGGCGGUGUUCCAAGUCUGUUGUGAAAUCUCCCGGCUUAACUGGGAGGGUGCGGCGGAAACUGGAACGCUGGAGUAUGGGAGAGGUAAGCGGAAUUCCAGGUGUAGCGGUGAAAUGCGUAGAUAUCUGGAGGAACACCGGUGGCGAAGGCGGCAUCCUGGACCAAUAUUGACGCUGAGGAGCGAAAGCCAGGGGAGCAAACGGG